rnacentral:rRNA from 1 species
AUGGCUUCACCGUUCGGGGGCGCCUCCACCUGUGGCCUCAAGGCAGCCGCUCCUUCCGGAUUUACGGCCAGGAAGCAGCUCUCCCUCGUUUCGCCCCUGUUGGUCUCGCUGCCCCAGAGGGCCAGGCCGGGGAGAAGGUGCAGUUUCCGAGUGAACGCUGCAAAGGAGCUGUAUUUCAACAAGGAUGGGUCGGCUAUCAAGAAGCUGCAACUUGCUGAUCUGGUUGGAGUUACUCUUGGCCCAAAAGGACGGAAUGUCGUCCUUGAGAGCAAAUACGGGUCGCCUAGAAUUGUCAAUGAUGGCGUUACGGUGGCAAAAGAGGUUGAGCUGGAGGACCCUGUUGAAAAUAUUGGAGCUAAAUUGGUCAGGCAAGCUGCUGCUAAGACCAAUGAUUUGGCAGGUGAUGGAACAACCACUUCUGUCAUCCUUGCUCAAGGGAUGAUUGCCGAGGGUGUUAAGAUUGUAGCUGCCGGUGCUAAUCCAGUACAGAUUGCCCGUGGUAUUGAGAAAACAACCAAAGCACUGGUCGGUGAGCUCCGAAAGAUGUCCAAGGAGGUUGAAGAUAGCGAACUUGCUGAUGUUGCUGCAGUAAGCGCUGGAAAUAACUACGAAAUUGGCAACAUGAUAGCUGAUGCUAUGAGCAAAGUUGGGCGACAGGGGGUGGUUACACUUGAAGAAGGCAAGAGUGCUGAAAACAACCUCUAUGUGGUUGAAGGCAUGCAAUUCGACCGCGGCUAUAUUUCUCCCUACUUUGUAACUGACAGUGAAAAAAUGUCAGUGGAGUAUGAGAAUUGCAAGCUGCUUCUUGUGGACAAGAAAAUUAACAAUGCCCGAGAUCUCAUCACUCUUCUGGAGGACGCUAUUAAGGGUGGGCAUCCAAUUCUAAUAAUCGCAGAGGAUAUUGAGCAGGAAGCUCUUGCAACUCUUGUGGUCAAUAGGCUUAGAGGUGCACUGAAGAUUGCUGCUAUUAAAGCCCCUGGUUUUGGAGAGCGCAAGAGUCAAUACCUGGAUGAUAUCGCUACUCUGACAGGAGGCACUGUCAUCAGAGAAGAAAUUGGACUGUCCCUGGACAAAGCAGACAAAGAAGUUCUUGGAAAUGCCGCCAAGGUUGUAAUUACUAAGGAUUCCACAACAAUUGUUGGAGAUGGUACUACACAGGAGGAAGUAACCAAAAGGGUUACACAAAUCAGGAACCAAAUUGAGGCUUCUGAACAGGAAUAUGAAAAGGAAAAGCUAAACGAGAGGAUAGCUAAGCUAUCCGGUGGUGUUGCUGUCAUUCAGGUUGGAGCACAGACUGAAACUGAGCUAAAAGAAAAGAAAUUGAGGGUUGAAGAUGCACUGAAUGCAACAAAGGCGGCUGUCGAGGAAGGUAUUGUUGUCGGUGGUGGUUGUACUCUUUUAAGGCUUGCAUCUAAAGUUGAUGCCAUUAAAGAAACCCUUGAGAAUGAUGAACAGAAGGUCGGCGCUGAAAUUGUUAGGAAAUCCUUGAGUUAUCCACUUAAACUGAUUGCGAAGAACGCUGGUGUUAAUGGCAGCGUGGUUCCCAAAAAGGUCCUUGUGAAUGACAACUUCAGGUACGGUUACAAUGCCGCUACAGGGAAUUAUGAGGAUUUGAUGGCUGCUGGUAUUAUUGAUCCCACCAAGGUUGUGAGGUGUUGCUUGGAGCAUGCCGCAUCGGUGGCGAAAACUUUCAUCACCUCGGACGCCGUCGUGGUCGACAUCAAGGAAUCUGAGAAGGCGCCUGCCGCAAACCCAAUGGCCGGUUCAGGUUAUGGGUUCUAA